UUCGUUUUAUGGUUAACUGCGUAGUUCAACCAAAAAGUUCUACUCAAUCAACGUAAAAACCGUUUUACGGUCAACCAAAAAGUUGAGCAGCUCAACUACAGGUUGACGAUAAAACGCACCCUAAGACAGAUUUAGGAUAAGUUACUGCAUUAAAUUGUUGUGUGUUUAUUACUAGUAACCUUAAUAGAGGCAAUUCACUUCGCGGUUUCACGUGUCAAUUGUUUCUGCGUCCGCCAUGUUUGCUGGGUUUUUGUGUUAUUUUUCUCAUUGUGUUUAUAGGCUGAGGCAUGAAGGAGGAAAGAAGGAGACGCUGCUCCCAUAAGGCCCUGCAGAAAUUUUUGAGGCGAUGAUGAUAUCUGCCUCGGGCAGAAUUUUCGUUCUUUUUUCUGCCACCAGAUGCGGAAGAGUAACGAAAUAUGAGAAAAUCUAUGCUUUAUUUUGGUUGCCACCGUUAUGGACUUUUCAUCUGCUAGACUCUUGUCAAAACUACCAUCAUGCUUGCUUGUCAAAACUAAGCAUGUUGAAGUGAAAUUUUGAGUGUAGGGCAUAUUUUUUAUAUUUUUUAGAAAGAAAGUGAAAGUGAUAAUGACUUGUUGCAUCAUAGGGUGUAGGAAAGGUUAUAAACCAACAAGAAAACAUCCAAAUCCUACCAAACAUAGUAGUUUUUAUUUUCCAAAAGACUUUGAACUAAGAGGCAAAUGGAUAACUGCAGUUAGCCUCCAUUCAGUUAAAAGAGAAAAUUUGGCUCCGAAGCCCCAAAGCAGAGUGUGUGCACGUCAUUUCUUGUCUAGUGAUUUUCGCGUUGAUAAAAUAAAUAUUGAAGAAGAAACCAUAAAUACAAUUGAUGGAAUGCGAAGCAGGCUUUUACCACAUGGAAUACCAUCUAUCAAUCUGACACCGGAGGAAGGUAAUGAACCACAGCUACCGACAGUUAAAAAAAGGAAAUCUGUUGAUGAAUAAAGUUGCUCUACAACUUCUUUACCCUUUAAAAGAAAAACAUAUGAAAGAGAGCCAUGUCAUCAGAUAUUGCAACUACAACAAUCCCAUCUACAGACCACAACCCCAUUUCAUGUGAAUGAGAAUGUUGGCAUGCAUGUAGAUGAUUGUGCUGAGGAAACACAACUUUCAAUUGUUACAGAUGUCCUGACUUCAAACACUGAAGAAUGUAAUGUCAUACAUCAAGGGAACUCAAGACAUAGUGAUCACCAGCCAAACAACAAGUCUACCUUUGAGAGAUCUGUUGUGGCCGACUAUCCUGAAAUGAUUUCUUCAUUACCCACCUCAAUCGACGAUCUCGGAAUAUUCAUUCCGGCUGACAACUGGACAGAGUUAAACCAAGGACUCGCGAACAGACCCAGCCACAAUACUCAUUUGGUUGAAGCAAUGUUUGUUGGAGAAGUUCAUUCCAUUAGGAAAUCAGUAACUGUUGACUUCCUACAUUCAACUGUGACCACUUAUAUGCUUGACAAAUUAUGUGACCCGGUCGAUUCUGGAAUUAAAAAUCCCCAAAAAUUCUCAAAUUACGCUGAAGCAAACUACAUAUUGAGAGAAUUCGCGGCAAGAGGUCGAUGUGUCGGAAUUUCAGUCGCCAAAUUUCAAAAUAUAAGUCAUGUGAAUACUGAAUUAUAUAUUGUGGAACCUGAUUACGAAAACGAUAUUUGCAGAGCUACUAGCCAACGGUAGUGCUACAUGUACAGAGUGUCAGUCACUUUUGCGUUUUUUAACUAUGAGGAUGGCCCGUGAUCAGAAAACGCGUAAAGCCACCAAUAAAACCAAGUACGCUUGUAAAACUAAAGAACAAGUGGUUCAGAAACUAAGAUUAGCAUCAAAUAAAAUAAAAAUGUUGAUGCAAUGGAAGCAACGAGCUAAGGCCAGAUUGCAGGUCAUGAAGAAAGAUGUCGUCAACUUGAGGGCCAAGAUGAGUGAAAUUGCAAAAUCAACUACGUUACAGAACAUUCAAGAUAAAAUGAAAACAAAAAUGGACUCCAAGCAUUCCCUGCUCAACCGUGCGACCAUGCCAACAAAUGAUACCUUAUCCCCAUCGGAUUCCUACAUAUGAGAACCUGCAUCCUUUCCUGCUCAUCCGUGUGAACAUGUCAAUAUACAAUACCUUAUUUAUCAUCAUCCCUAUUAUCUUUAUCUAUCAUCAUUAUUAUCUCCUGAAAGUCUAGUAUUUCUUCUUUAUUAUUCAUGUUUCCCUACAUAUUUAUUUAUUUCGUAAUGUUACCAUUAUGCAUGCCUGAAAUAACUGUGAUACCUGUCAAUCUUAAACGAUUUAUUUUUCCUUCACAGACACUGCUGACUUUGAAAACCAUUACACUUUAUUACACAGUCACAAGCCAAAAACAAAUACGGCAUGAGAUAUGAAGCUGAGUGGCUUCUGGAAUGCCUUCUUUUACGCAUCAAGAGCGUUGCUAGCUACGAACAUAUUCGAAAACUAAAACUACUCCCCCUUCCAAGCCGUAGUACCCUUUUAAAACUUUUGAGCGGUGUUAGCUGCCAUUUCGGCUACAACAUUCCAGCGUUAGAAGCAAUCGAAAAAAUUGUCCAAGGCAAAGAAGGCAAAGAACUCCUACCUAUAAUUUCUUUCGACGAGGUAUCUCUGACGCCCAAGCCCGAUUUCAACACCGAGUCGCUUGCAUUCGAUGGGUUUGCAAAUCUCAACACUGAUCCGGUUCGUAACCGAGAUGAAAUAGAUAACCACGAUGGUGAUGGACCGAGACCUGAACCUGAUGUCAGCGGAACCCCUGUUUUGGCUGAUCACGCCCUAGUUUUUAUGGUUAAGCCGCGUUCACGCCAGAGGUUUUUCGGCUAGCCGAAAGAUGAAAGAUGAAAACCAAAAGAUGAAAAAAUUUCGUUUUCAUCUUCGACUAUUCACACUACAAAUUUGUUCAUCUUGGUAGAUGGCGCUUAUUACUUUUUUCGCUACUUAAUUAUUUGUGUCGUCUGCAGAUUUUCUGAUUUUUGUGUGUGAUUAUUGUGAGUUCUCUUUUUUCUUAAAAUUAAAAUGGAAGUAGGAAUAGAAGAGAGUAAUUAUGAGUACGAACUUUGGAUUUGGAAGCUGA